rnacentral:rRNA from 1 species
GGCGACGAUCAGUAGCCGGCCUGAGAGGGUGAACGGCCACAUUGGGACUGAGACACGGCCCAAACUCCUACGGGAGGCAGCAGUGGGGAAUAUUGGACAAUGGGGGGAACCCUGAUCCAGCGACGCCGCGUGAGUGAAGAAGUAUUUCGGUAUGUAAAGCUCUAUCAGCAGGGAAGAAAGAAAUGACGGUACCUGACUAAGAAGCCCCGGCUAACUACGUGCCAGCAGCCGCGGUAAUACGUAGGGGGCAAGCGUUAUCCGGAUUUACUGGGUGUAAAGGGAGCGUAGACGGCGAUGCAAGUCUGAAGUGAAAGGCGGGGGCCCAACCCCCGGACUGCUUUGGAAACUGUAUGGCUGGAGUGCAGGAGAGGUAAGUGGAAUUCCUAGUGUAGCGGUGAAAUGCGUAGAUAUUAGGAGGAACACCAGUGGCGAAGGCGGCUUACUGGACUGUAACUGACGUUGAGGCUCGAAAGCGUGGGGAGCAAACAGGAUUAGAUACCCUGGUAGUCCACGCCGUAAACGAUGAUCACUAGGUGUCGGUGGGUAUGGACCCAUCG